CAGCAGCCGCGGUAAUACGAAGGGGGCUAGCGUUGUUCGGAAUUACUGGGCGUAAAGCGCACGUAGGCGGACAUUUAAGUCAGGGGUGAAAUCCCGGGGCUCAACCCUGGAACUGCCUUUGAUACUGGGUGUCUAGAGUAUGGAAGAGGUGAGUGGAAUUCCGAGUGUAGAGGUGAAAUUCGUAGAUAUUCGGAGGAACACCAGUGGCGAAGGCGGCUCACUGGUCCAUUACUGACGCUGAGGUGCGAAAGCGUGGGGAGCAAACAGGAUUAGAUACCCCUGUAGUCCCUGUCUCUUAUAC
rnacentral:rRNA from 1 species